rnacentral:tRNA from 1 species
UAGAAAUUAGUGUAGUGGAGGCACAAAGAGUCUUGGUCUCUUUAAAUUGGGUUCGAGUCCCUUUUUUCUA